rnacentral:lncRNA from 10 species
CGGAGUUUCCAUUUUCAAUCCUAGAAAGAAAAAUCACUAACUAUGCACACAGAUUUACCAUAAUCACUAUGAUUACUACGUUUUCUUUGGUAUCGACUUCCAGAAAGGCAGGCAAAUGUCACUGGUUUUUUUCACAUCUUCAUCCAUCCCGGUGAUACAUUUGUGCAUACACUUGUGUUAUCCUGGUUGACUUGAAUGAAUACCCAUUAGAGAUGAAAGGAGCUAUUAAGUCACCUCCCCUCUGCUUUGCACACAGGUCAAGCUCAAUCCCUCUUCCUCAGCCAAAACACUCAUUGGAUCUCUCUUUGCUUUUCUGCAGUGACUGGAGUGUAGCUGCCGCCGCCACCACCACCACCACCACCACCACCACCAUCUUAUCACCGCCAGCAAUGAGAUCUCAAGACAUUCUGUAAACAUUUCUUUGGCAUGUAUCAGUGUCCCUGAGAGCGUUGAUAAUCUGCUUGAAUGUGAGCUCAAUGCUGGGACGGCCUCCCCGGACUUGGCAGGCAGCCCUUGAACAAACCUUUUGUGCCUGCAUCCCUCUGAUGGACAGGCACUGAGGAUGCCGGUGACCCAGCUUCUAGAAAGAAUCACAGCAGGGAAGGGGCAUUGCUAAGUAGUCUUCCAACCUGGGGACACAAGCUAAAAAUGAGAGAAAACUCAGAUCAACAGUGCUGCUGAGCUUAUUACGUUUAAGACGAAAAACAAUACCUGAUUAAAGCAACAAAACACCUGGAUAUUUUGCAGUUAGCCCCGUUAAUCAGAGAAGGAUGAGCCUUGGGGCUGUGGCUCAGGUUCCUAAUCCUGUUGCUAGAGUUUUUCACUUUUGUUCUCAUUUCUGCGGCUGACAUGGGAUCCUACAGAUUGUUUAUCCCAAGGCUGUCUGGGCCUGGGCUCUGUGAACAGUGUCACUCUAAAAAUAACAGGCUGUGCCGAGAAUAGCAGACUUUCUCCUUUUUCCUGCAGAAGACGACUUCUCAGCUCCUUGGAGGGGUCAGUACGAGGUGAGAGCCAUAGAAAGAUGGCAACGAAAAAGAAAGAGACAUUCUGCAAUGGGUUGAAUGGGGUCUCCCUGACAUUUACAUCACCCAGAACCUCAAAAUAUGACCUUAUCUGGAAACAGGGUCUUUUGAGAUGUCAUGGAUUCUGCUGCCAUCAGCAGAGAGACAGAAAGGUCUGCCCUCUGGAAGUCAGCUGAAGCCCAGUGCAAAGUGCAGCUGGUCAAGACAUUGUGGUUCUCAAUCAGGAACCCUUUGCAAUGUCAGCCUCCCCUAGGAUGAGUGAGCAAGCUUGGCGGGAAUAUGGGGGUGUUGAUUAUGGUCUCUCCUCUGGGACAUUCAGAAUCAAUCUGUCCGUCGCAAGAUCGAAAUAAAGUGGUGAUAUAGAUGAGUCUGAGAACUUAUCUACAACUCACAGCAGCAACUCUCUGUGUAAAUGUUAAUUGUACAAUCAGGGUAAAAAAAAUAACUCUAAUACCAUAUGUGCAUGUUAGGAAAUUAUCUAAGUGCAUAUGGAAUCGGGAGCUCAGAGGCUGAAGGAACUGAAAGGAUUUUCCAUAUAAAAUUCUUUACUGCAUGUUACAGGCUGAAUUGUGUUUCCUCAAAAUUUAUAUGUUAAAUCCUAAACAUUGGGACCUCAGAAUGUCACUGUAUUUGGAGAUAAGGUCUUUAAAGAGGUGAUUAAGGUAAAAUGAGGUCACUAAGAUGGGCACCAAUCCAAUAGGACUGGGGUCUUUAUAAGAAGAGAAUAUUAGGACACAGACAUAAAUACAGGGACGACCCUGUGAGGACAAAGGGAGAAGACAGCAUCUACAAGCUCAGGAGAGAAGCUUUAGGAGGAGCCAACCCUUCCCAUACCUUGAGCUUAGACUUCCAGCCUCCAGGACUGUGGGAGAAUAAAUGUCUGCUGUUUGUAAACCACCCAGUCUAUGGUGUGCUGUUAUAGCAGCCUGAAAUGGACUAAGCCAUCUCAUAAGAAGAGGAGACAGAUACACACAGAGGGACAACCAUUUGAGGACACAGGGAGAAGACAGUGUCUACAAGCUCAGGAGAGAGGCCUCGAGAGGAACCAGCCCUGCCCACACCUUGAUCUUGGAAUUCCAACCUCCAGGACUGUGGAGAAUAAGUGUCUGUUGCUUGUAAGCCAUUAAGUCUAUGGUAUUAUGUUACAGAAGCCUGAAAUUGACUAAGACAUCUCAUAAGAAGAAGAGAUGAGGACACAGACACACACAGAGGGACGACCACAUGAGGACACAGGGAGAAGAUGGCAUCUACAAGGCUACGAGAGAGGCUUCAGGAGGAACCAGCCGUGCUCACCCCUUGAUCUCAGAUUUCCAGCCUCCAGAACCGUGAGAAAAUAAAUCUUUGUUGUUUAAGUCACCUGGUCUGUGGAACUUUCUUAUGGAAGUCCUAGAAAACUAAUAUACUGCAUGAAAAGAAACCUUCCUAUAACAUCAUUCAUGAGGAUAAAUUUAGCUUGUAUUGUGUUUCUUCAUCGUCAAUAACUUAGAAUAAAAUGUGAGAAGAACAGUAAUGUAAACAUACUGAUAUUUACCCCAAAUGGGAAAAUUGUAGCUAGUAUUUUCCCUCAAGAAGAUCUGUUCCCUUUAUUAUAGAAUUGCUAUUCCAACCACUUCAAUAUUAUAAUUCCUACUAUCUUCCUUAACAUCUCUAUAAAAUAAACCUUAAACAUUUUCCAUCAACAUCUUGCAAAUCAAUUUGCAGGCCAAAAAUUAUUUCUAACAUCUUCCUGAAUUUUUUCAUAUGAUAAUUUAAAUUUAUACUCUCUUUGUUUCCUUUGUGAAAAAACAAUUCCUAGUUAGAAUGAGAAGAAAGCCCCAAUUAUGUUGGGAUUAAAUGCCGGGAACAAUUAAAUGUUGGGAACAUUUUAGUUCAAAAGAAGACCAUGUUUCAUUUCAUUUACCCUUCAAGAAAGGUAAGGUGAAUAUUAUCAUAUAUUUUUCCUCAAUUCCUUGCUAUUCACCCAU